rnacentral:rRNA from 1 species
AGUAAAAGUCGUAACAAGGUUUCUGUAGGUGAACCUGCAGAAGGAUCAUUAUUAAACCAAAUGAGUGCACUUNAUUGUGGCUCAACCUCAUUUUAUUCACCCUAAAACUUGUUUGUGUGGCAUUUUUGUCAUUGCACUCAGGUAGACGUAACACUUUUGUUACAUUACCCCCUCCCCAAAUUUUUUUAUUAUAAAACACAAGUUGAAUUUAAGAAUGUAAACCUUUUUUAUUUUGAAAUAACUUUUAACAAUGGAUCUCUAGGCUCUCAUAUCGAUGAAGAACACAGUGAAAUGUGAUAAGUAAUGUGAAUUGCAGAAUUCAGUGAAUCAUUGAAUCUUUGAACGCACCUUGCACCUUUUGGUAUUCCAAAAGGUACACCUGUUUGAGUGUCAUGAAAAUCUCUCAUCAAAUUAAUUUUUGGUGGAUGUUGAGUGCUGCUGUUAUCUAGCUCACUUUAAAUAUAUAAGUUCUUUCUCAUGUUGUUGGAUUGACUUGGUGUAAUAUUUAAUUUUUUUUCAUCAAGGAAAGUAGCAAUACUUGCCAACAUUUCAAGUAAGGACUCCUAAAACAUAUUUUUAUUUUUAUUUUUUAAGACCUCAAAUCAGGUGGGACUACCUGCUGAACUUAAGCAUAUCAAUAAGCAGAGGAAAAGAAACUAACAAGGAUUCCCCUAGUAAUGGCGAAUGAAACGGGAAAA